GGUGGCAGCACGCCGGAAUGCAAGUCCGGAGAGGCACCCAGGAGGUGCCCCGGCUU
rnacentral:tRNA from 1 species